CGAAGUAAAAGUCGUAACAGUUUCCGUAGGUGAACCGCGGAGGAUCAUUAAAAUAUCGCUGAUUGAGAGUGAUUAUAAUCAUCUACCCUUUGUGAAUUGUUGUUUGAAUAAUUUUUUUUGAUUAAAAAAAAAAAUUAUUUAUGGUUUUGUCUAUCCUAAAUUGUUUGUUGUGAAAUGAAUCAUUUAGGAAUAGCUUUCUAAAUAAGUUUUUUUAAGUCUUAAAGACCUUUUUUAAAAUUAAACUUUUGUAUCAUUUGUCUAAAUUUUUUUAAAUAAUUAAAAACAACUUUUGACAAUGGAUCUCUUGGUUCUCGCAACGAUGAAGAACGCAGCAAAAUCGAUAAGUAAUGGAAUUGCAGAAUACGUGAAUCAUCAAUCUUCGAACCAUAUUGCACUUUUUAGUUUACUAAAAAAGUAUGUCUGUUUGAGUAUCAGUAAAUAUUCUCAUAAAAACAUUUUGUUUUAUGGUAUGAGUGUUUACAACGAUAAACAAGUUGUUUCACUUUAAAUUCAUUUUAAUUUAAGACCAUUUAUGUUUAUAAAAAAUUGGAUAAAAUUUUCCCGUAAAAAGGAAUAACUUUUCAGUUUUUAAUUAUUACCAACAACGUCCGAUUUAAAGGAAUUUAUUUAAAUAACUUGAUCUCAAAUCAGAUAAGAGUACCGCUGAACUUAAGCAUAUCAAUAAGCGAGGAAAAGAACUAACAGAUUCCUAGUAACGGCGAGUGAAGCGGAAGAGCUCAAAUUUGAAUCUUCAAGUUUACCUUGACGAAUUGUAGUUUAAGAAGUGUUUCUGUUAGAUGAGUAGCAAAGUUCCUUGGAAUGGACAUCAUAGAGGGUGAGAAUCCCGUAUUUGGUAUUCAUUCUAGCUUUGUGAUACACUUUCAAAGAGUCGGAUUGUUGGGAAUGCAGUCCAAAUGGUGGUAAAUUUCAUCUAAAGCUAAAUAUUGGCGAAGACGAUAGCAACAAGUACCGUGAGGAAAGAUGAAAAGAACUUUGAAAAGAGAGUUAACAGUACGUGAAUUGUCAAAGGGAGCGUUUGACACCAGUGUUUUUUCGAAAAAUCAAUUACGAAUGGCUUGAUUUGUGUGUAUGACCUUAUCACUUCUCACUUUUUCGAGUCUUUCUUAAUGCACUUUUGGUUAACAAGUCAACAUCAAUUUCUUUUGUUGUAAAAGAGUAUCGGAAGGUGGCUUUCUUUUCGGAGAAAGUGUUUAUAGCCCUAUACUUCUACAAUCGAGAGAUUGAGUCUGCAGCGUAGAUCCUUCGGUAGAUACAUUGUGCUAAGUUGUAGCUUUUCAUAGACAACUUGUUGAUAUGUUUAGUCAUGCGGCUUACUCGCUUAUGCUAUUUUACCUACGCUUAGGAUGUUGAC
rnacentral:misc_RNA from 1 species